rnacentral:rRNA from 1 species
AUUGAACGCUGGCGGCAUGCCUUACACAUGCAAGUCGAACGGUAACGGGCCUUCGGGUGCCGACGAGUGGCGAACGGGUGAGUAAUACAUCGGAACGUGCCCGAUCGUGGGGGAUAACGAGGCGAAAGCUUUGCUAAUACCGCAUACGAUCUACGGAUGAAAGCAGGGGACCGCAAGGCCUUGCGCGGACGGAGCGGCCGAUGGCCGAUUAGGUAGUUGGUGGGAUAACAGCUUACCAAGCCGACGAUCUGUAGCUGGUCUGAGAGGAUGAUCAGCCACACUGGGACUGAGACGCGGCCCAGACUCCUACGGGAGGCAGCAGUGGGGAAUUUUGGACGAUGUGCGCAAGCCUGAUCCAGCCAUGCCGCGUGCAGGAUGAAGGCCUUCGGGUUGUAAACUGCUUUUGUACGGAACGAAAAGCCUUCUUUUAAUACAGGAGGGUCAUGACGGUACCGUAAGAAUAAGCACCGGCUAACUACGUG